rnacentral:rRNA from 1 species
CCUACGGGGUGCAGCAGUAGGGAAUCUUCCACAAUGGGCGAAAGCCUGAUGGAGCAACGCCGCGUGGGUGAAGAAGGUCUUCGGAUCGUAAAACUCUGUUGUUAGAGAAGAAAGUGCGGGAGAGUAACUGUUCACGUUUCGACGGUACCUAACCAGAAAGCCACGGCUAACUACGUGCCCGCAGCCGCGGGAAUACGUAGGUGGCAAGCGUUAUCCGGAUUUAUUGGGCGUAAAGGGAACGCAGGCGGUCGUUUAAGUCUGAUGUGAAAGCCGUCGGCUUAACCGGGGUAGUGCAUUUGAUACUGGGAGGCUUGAGUGCAGAAGAGGAAGGUGGAACGCCAUGUGUAGCGGUGAAAUGCGUAGAUAUA